CUAGAUUAUCUUCCUAAAAAAUUGAGAUAUCUUCAUUGGGACACAUAUCCAUUAAGGACACUGCCAUCAAAUUUCAAGCCAAAGAACCUCGUUCAACUGAAUUUGCGUUUAAGUAAAGUUGAGCAACUUUGGGAAGGAGAAAAGGUAAGUUUUGUACUAAAACUAAAACAUUAAUUUUUUUCUGCUGUACGGCCAAGGCGGAUGUACGGUACAGCAGGGAGAAAAUCAGAAACAGAGGGUGGCCUAGAAGACCUACAAAAGGAAAUGCUUUCGACAAUAUUAAGUGAAAAACUUGAAGUAGCUGGUCCCAAUAUUCCACAAUUUACUAAAGGGAGGGUCCGACGCAUGAAGGUGUUGAUUGUACUCGAUGAUGUGAAUAAAGAUGAACAAUUAGAGGGUUUGAUUGGAGGGCUUGAUCAAUAUGGUCCAGGAAGUAGAAUUGUUGUAACCACUAGGGAUAAAGGAGUCCUCGAAAAUUUUGGAGUGGAGAAAAUAUAUAGGGUUAAUGGAUUGAAAUUUGAUGAGGCUUUCGAGCAUUUUUGUAACUUCGCUUUUAAAGAAAAGCAUUGUCCUGAAGAUUUCAAACGUGACUCACGGAGAGUUGUAAAGUAUGCUGAUGGCAAUCCAUUAGUUCUUAAAGUGUUGGGUUCCUCCCUCAAGAGGAAAAGCCAUUGGGGAAACGUUUUGGACGACUUAAAUCGGAUUUGUGAAUCUGAUAUUCAUAAUAUUUAUGAUAUAUUAAAGAUUAGUUUUAAUGAAUUAACGCCCAAUGUGAAGAGUGUAUUUCUGGAUAUUGCUUGUUUCUUUGAGGGAGAGGAUAAAGAUAUUGUGACAAGGAUACUUGAUGAUUCUGGGUCUCACAGACUGGAUGUCCUCGUGGACAAGUCACUCAUAACAGUGUCAUAUAAUGGCUUGCAAAUGCAUGAUUUAUUGCAAGAAAUGGGGCGACAGAUUGUUCGCCAAGAAUCUGAGAAAGAGCCAGGCAAACGCAGCAGGUUGUGGGAUCCUAAGGAAAUCCGCCGCGUACUAAAGCAUAAUAAGGUAAGAAUCCUCCAUUUUAUAUAUAUAUAUUUUAUUUGUUUGGAGUUAUGCACUCAUAUUUUUCCAACCAUACCAGCACACCCAUGUUUUUUUUAUAAAUUUUAUUAUUACCAGAACAUCCUUUAGUAAAAGCAUUUUUAUGAACAAAACAACCAAAAUCAUAAAAACCAUGAUUAGGUAAAAUUAAUGACUAAGGGUGUCAAGAGAACAAGUCUUCAAAUUUUAAAUUUUUAAAGAAAACUCCAGAUUUUAUCAAUUUUGGAACGUUGAAUAAGAGUGUGAAGAGUAUAAUUUUAUUUUUCUUCAAAUUUAGUGAAGAGUGUCAGAACAAAGUGAGUGCCAUGAGGAUGGGCCCACCUGGUUCUACUUCAAUAUAAUUAUAUUUUUUUUUCAAAAAAGUAAGUGUGUUUUAGAGUAUAAUUUUUUUUAAGCAACAGUCACUAAUAAAAUUGACUGAUUGGCCCACCUAGUUCUGCCUCCAAUCACUCCUUUUGGCUUAAAUGUACCUUAAGGAGGCUAUAAGAUGGUUAAAUCCUUUCGAAAAGAGUCGUAUCUCAAUUUGACUUGGAUACAAUUACAGCUAGUGGGAAAAAAAUGACUUUCAUUUUUUUUCCCUAAUUUUGAACUAACAUUUUGGAUUCUAUCGACAAAAAAAAAAAAAAAAUUGGAAUCUUAUACCAAUCAAAUAGGCCCUGUCUUCUCAACUUCUAGAUAUUAAGAUAACAGGUUUGUAAAUUAGAGAAAUUUUGAAUUUUUUUUUUCGGUUAGUUUAAUUUUGCGAUGGUCCCCAAAAUUUUCUUUUCUCGCAUAUAGAUAUUUAAUAUAUUAAAAAAUAAAAUCAAAGAUUGCAGAAUUUGUUGUUGUUUAAGGAGCUCUUAGUUAACAAAGUUUACGAAUGUUGCUUUUUUGCUUUAGGCUUACUCAUUCUUUGUUUUUGUUUUUGUUUUUGUUUUAUAAGGGGACCGAUGCAAUUGAAGGCAUAUUUCUGAAUUUGUCCAAAAUAAAAGGCAUCAAUUUAGACCCCGGAGCCUUCACAAAUAUGUCUAAUCUGAGAUUGCUCAAAUUUUAUGUACCUAAGUUUUAUGAGAUUGAAAAGCUUCUAAGUAUGAGCAUUGAAGAACAACUUUCAUACUCUAAAGUGCAGCUUCCAAAAGGCCUAGAUUGUCUUCCUAAAAUAUUGAGGUAUCUUCAUUGGGACACAUAUCCAUUAAGGACACUGCCAUCAAAUUUCAAGGCAAAGAACCUUGUUGAACUGAAUUUGCGUUUUAGUAAAGUUGAGCAACUUUGGGAAGGAGAAAAGGCUUGUGUUCCCUCAUCUAUCCAGAAUUUCAAGUAUCUCAGUGCGUUGUCUUUUGAGGGCUGCAAAAGUCUUAGGUCUUUUCCAAGCAAUCU
rnacentral:lncRNA from 1 species